rnacentral:lncRNA from 1 species
UUGUAAUCAAUCAAAUUUAUUGUAUUCAAACAUGUUCUAACCCUAAAUAACACUAGACAAACCAUUAACAGCUCAAAAGACAUGUUUAUGGAUUCUUAGCCCAUUUGGGACCAAAUUUCAACAAGUCUUUUUACACACUUCUAAACACUCUUCAUGUAUAUCUAGCACCUGUAAUCAAUCGAAUUUAUUGUAUUCUAACAUAUUCUAACCCCAAACAACACUACACAAGCCAUUUAAUGCUUCAAAGGAAUGGUUGUGGGUUCUUAUCCCUUUUUGGACAAAAUUUCAGCAAGUCUUUUUACACACUUCUAAACACUCUUCAUGCAUAUCUAGCACUUGUAAUCAAUCAAAUUUAUUGUAAUCUAACAUAUUGUAACCCCAAACAACACUA